rnacentral:rRNA from 1 species
AUUGAACGCUGGCGGCAGGCCUAACACAUGCCAGUCGAACGGUAACAGAAAGCAGCUUGCUGCUUUGCUGACGAGUGGCGGACGGGUGAGUAAUGUCUGGGAAACUGCCUGAUGGAAGGGGAUAACUACUGGAAACGGUAGCUAAUACCGCAUAACGUCGCAAGACCAAAGAGGGGGACCUUCGGGCCUCUUGCCAUCGGAUGUGCCCAGAUGGGAUUAGCUAGUAGGUGGGGUAAAGGCUCACCUAGGCGACGAUCCCUAGCUGGUCUGAGAGGAUGACCAGCCACACUGGAACUGAGACACGGUCCAGACUCCUACGGGAGGCAGCAGUGGGGAAUAUUGCACAAUGGGCGCAAGCCUGAUGCAGCCAUGCCGCGUGUAUGAAGAAGGCCUUCGGGUUGUAAAGUACUUUCAGCGGGGAGGAAGGGAGUAAAGUUAAUACCUUUGCUCAUUGACGUUACCCGCAGAAGAAGCACCGGCUAACUCCGUG